rnacentral:lncRNA from 1 species
UGGGGCGAUAAUUUUAUAAAGUGGCGAUAAAGUGUGGGCCGAUUGACCAGUGGGGCGAAUUGACAUUGUUUGACAUCUACUCAUCGUGUUCGGGGUCAUAAAGGGUAUACAUCAUAUAGUAAUAUAGAAAGUUUAUUAUAAUGGUUGUGUGGCGUUCUAAACUAGAUUUUAUGAAUUGUAAAUGGUUUUUCGUCUUAUCUAAAAUAGCUGGGAUGUAAAAUAAUUAUCACACUCGGACUUGGUGUGUCAGUGUUAGAUCACCCUCUGGCCUCCGGCCAUCGGGGUGAUCUUACA